rnacentral:rRNA from 1 species
CCUACGGGUGGCAGCAGUGGGGAAUUUUCCGCAAUGGGCGAAAGCCUGACGGAGUGACGCCGCGUGGGGGACGAAGGCCUUCGGGUCGUAAACCCCUGUCAGUGGGAAAGAAGGGUGUCGGUGCUAAUACCACCGGCAUUUGACGGUACCUGCAGAGGAAGCCCCGGCCAACUCUGUGCCAGCAGCCGCGGUAAGACAGAGGGGGCAAGCGUUGCUCGGAAUUACUGGGCGUAAAGGGCGCGUAGGCGGGAUGGCAAGUCGGUCGUGAAAUCCCUCGGCUCAACCGAGGAACGUCGAUCGAUACUGCUGUUCUUGAGGAUUGCAGAGGAGACUGGAAUUCCUGGUGUAGCGGUGAAAUGCGCAGAUAUCAGGAAGAACACCAAUGGCGAAUGCAGCUCUCUGGGACGGUACUGACGCUGAGACGCGAAAGCGUGGGGAGC